CUUUGCAGUUUGUGGGCCACACUGGGAUGUCACGUGACAAGAGAACAGCUGCUGCCCGGAAUCCGCAACGAUGUUCUGAGAAUCACAAGUGUGGGUCGGUCUGGGCAAGUUUUAAGGCAAACAGAGUACUUUUUAGCGUUCACGGAAACGUUGCUCUGCGGUUACGAGACUGAUAUCGCAUCGAGAAAUGCUGUGGAUCAUAUUUUUGAGAGAUACGGGCGCCGCGAAGGUUGCUAUGUACGGCGGGCGUGAAGGAGGAAUCGCCCAUGUCGAGGUUCGAAAAAUUCAAUUAUCUCACGUGGGUACUACAGGGCACUGAGAGCUUUAAAACAGAGAAUGGACGCAACAUGCCGUGCAGUCCGUGCUUGUUUCCCACCGUGGCCACAGAUCAUGUUACGAUGCUACAGCUGGAAUGUGGAUCGUCAUUGUACACUGAGGCGUAAUCUCAAGUUGGCGUGAUGUCGAGGAAACCACACUGUGCAAGACGGGAACUGGAUAAAGGACAAUGUUGGUUACUGUGAGCUCUCUGCACUUGGACUGCUCAAGCCGGAAUAUUUCUUCAGCACAACAAAGAAGCCGUUGUACAAAGGAAGAUGGCUUCAACAGACCACCAUUGUCCCUAAGGAUGAUCAGAAGGCUUGACGUGUCAUCAUCAAGAAGGGUAUCAAGGCACCCAUCACAUUAGAGCUGCUCUGUGAAUCUUCUUCUGAUGCCUGCUGCCGUGGUCUACCCUGGUGAGACAAGGUCUCAAUGCCCUCCAGGCUGGGAGAUAUGUUGGCUGUACUGGGAGCUUGAACAUCAGCAUGCAGCAGCAAUUUUCGUGUCAUCUGCAGACGGCGGCGGACUGCACUCAAGUGAAGAUUCCUCUGCUUUAGUUGCCGUACACUUGACCUGGGAGUUGUUUUGCUCUGGUACGCAUGCUCUUUCCGAAUUCCUGUGCUUUUUGGUGUGGUGGGACUCUCAAUAUUCGUGUCACCUUGUGAUACCUGCAGUAUGCACAAAUUACAGAGCACACGUCUAACAGCGAAAUGUUUCAUAAAAUGUACCUUUCGCCUUUUCGGUGUUCCCUGUUCCUGAGGUGUACAGGUCACUGUUUCGGAGCAGACAUUUUCAACACUUUCAGUGUCAACUUCUGGGGAUGCACUUGGCUGGCUUGAUUUGUCUCCUCCCAUGUGUGAUGCUUGUGAUGGGGAUUCUUGCCCAGUCUCGUGAGUGUCAACCAAGACAGAGGUCUGUUAAAAGUGCAGUAAGGUGAAGCUUGUUUUGGCUAAUGAUGCCCACAAAGUUUUUUCGUUUUUCUUACUUUCAUGUUAGCACCACGAAGCAACUAUGGCUAUGAGCGGCAUGAUGCCCAUACUGAAGAGGAAACGUGAUCGUGUAUUUACCAGUUUGUGCUUCCUUGGGAGUCUACAGUAGGGAUGCUCCUCAUGAAGCUGCAUUGGCAUAUGUACCUGCAUAACAAUUUUUGUAAGGCUAAAUUUUUUACAUCAUGUUUGGCCGUGGUUGAAUACUUUCUCUAAAAUCUUUCUAGCAUGGAGUCACAAGUGAAAACUGCUCCUUACAGGGGAUGCAGCAGGUGUAAGAGGAUUGGCUGGCCGAUCCAACAUCGUACUGCAUCCUGCUUCAUUGUCCUGUAGAAACAAACACGGAGUCAGCAUAAUAACACACAUGGAGAGACACAAAGAGUAUGGCUGACUGAUGUUCAUGAUUACUGUAAUCGACAAAUAUCAAGCUGAUGAGGGUAUGCUUUCAGUGCAUAAACAUGAAAAGCAGGGAGCACCUAUAUUAAUUACCAAGUAAAGCUUUCUCGUUCUACAUUGCAAUAUGACAUUCCAUUGCUUUGAUUUUGUAAUGAUGUAGGAUACAGUCAUGGGCAUGCACACAAUGCACCCAAGGAUGUUUUCAUUUUCAAUGAAUUUCAUUUGUUUUGAAUUUCAUUUGUAUUGACUGUAUUGGCACUAUGCAAUAAAGUGUAUUUGGCGCUAUACUUGCCUGAGAUGUGCUUGGCACUACUCCAUUUAGAACAGCAUCCUUUUUUAACAUGCUCAGGCGAUAUCCAGACAUAAAGCUGCUGGCGUCGAAGUGCCGGGAACAAAGUUUCACAUGCCGCGUAGGAACGAAACCCUGCAUUCCUAGGUCCUCCAGCCAUCUCGAAAGCAAGUCCGGGUUACGCAGAGGAAAGCUGUUGGAUGAUAACGCAAGGAACAUAUAAUAACAACAGUACGGACUUUUCCGGACGCUUGCCGCCAGUUGCGUUUCUCUGCACGCAUGCGGGAAAAGGCGGUUUAGCUUGUAUAUAUGCCAUUGAAGGUCGUCACAAAUUGGGUACGCUCUUUAAUACUUACGAAUGAAACGUCACGCCGCAGGAUUUGCUGUAUCUGACUUUGCACUUCGCGCAGCUAACCGGCAUUUUCGGCUGCCUGCGAGCAUGGACGACGUAUGGCGGCGACAGUACCAAGAUGAGGGAGGGGAGGGGAAACCGAAACCAUUCGUUUCACAUGCACACAAAAGUGACAGGUGAAUGACAAAAAACAGGCAGAUGAUUAUUGGCAAGCUCUUAUUGUGCCUUUAUUCUUGUAAUGUACAUGACAAACACAUCGCAUACACCGUAUGAAGCACGUCACACAAUAAAAACGUCCGCCAAACUUAGCGGAGGGACACCCGAGAGGAAAGCAACAGACUCCAUGCCAAAAGUAUGUCGGCGGCGCUGCGGUAACACUUCUCCGGGCUAGUCCGACCCCCGUGUAUUCAAAAGCGGCCGCAUCCAUUCUCAAAACCUUGCGGUAGGCACAUGGGUCCUCGUGUCGUAGCUCCCAUAAAGGCUAUUUUGCAGACCGUGCUCUUUCCUCAACAUCCUUCCUUAACCACUUCUUUUCGUGGCAGCAUUCACUAUCGUCAGUGAGAACAGCAAAAGCCACCAAUCUUCGCUUUCUUUCGUCCAUUGCGUACCAAGCGCCGUGCACAUAAAAUUAAUGCUGCAACCUACAACCGCAGCGCGAACGUUAUCCCAGGCAUCUGAGCUGGCAGCACAUUUGAACACUAUCAGUGUAGGCAUUCCAGAAGGGCGUAGCCUCAGCGCCUUAUCAUUUACCCUCUCGCUCCUUCAGUCGCUGCGCCGUCAGAAAACACGCUCGUGUGAAUACACGGUUAUUUGCCGCCGCCACCAAGUCUGCCUGGCGAGUGGACGAAACUGAUCACGUGGGAGGUGCUUCCGAGAACUAGCAGGAGACGUUCGCAAUUUUGGUUUUGGUCGAGCAGCCUGUGAACUCGCCCACUGUAUUUCUAGUGUCUUGCGCGGUUUUUGCUCUGCUAUCGUCAAUUUCGUAGACGGCACCGAAGUGCAAGUCGUACGCGAUGCCUGUGUGUGCAGUACACAGCUGUACAAGCCGCACAAAGGAUGGAAUCCGCGUAUUUCGGUUCCCAAUAGGCACCAGCUCAGGGCACCGGUUGCGACAGUGGAUUCAAAUCGUCCGCAAGGAUGGCUUCACACCGACGGCUUCACACCGACUGUGUACUCACGCAUGUGUGAGGUAAGCAUUCGUUAACAUGUUACGCGUCCGUGAAUUGAUGUUUCUCUAUUUAGGAUGGUGAGUUGUUCAACAACAUACUGCCCAUAGCUAAGCCUAGCCCUUAAAACUGUGAAAAGUUGUUGCCGUAACCAGUCUUCUGUUCCAUUUUGCACCGCUCUAGAAACAUUUUGAAGUGGACCAGUUCGAGAAGAACAGAGCAGACGGCAGACUCGUUUUGAAAUGGAACGCCGUGCCAACAAUCUGGGGCGCGUUGUCGGCCAAGUCAUCGCGACGUCGCUCGCAUUCGCAGCUCGUCAUCGUCACUGCGACGCUGGCAGGAUGACAAUACCCUCCCAGCCGCCAACAACACCAUUCCAACGCAACGCCAUUCACCUCCUCUCCUGCCCUCCUUUCCGCGACGCUCCAGCGACAUUACUCUUGAAACCCGACGCUUGUUUACCGGUGCAAAAACUAAUUCCUUCUUGCGUAUCAAGCAUGUUCUGAACUUGAUAACACAUAGCUUUUCGUUUUGUAAAAAAAACGUUAAAUUUCACACUCUAAUUAAAAGUCAGUAACACAAAAUAUGUUGCGGAUACGAUAAGUCGGCCAAUGACGUGUUGCUAAGGGUCGUCUGCUCCCUGCUUCUUUGUGUGAGUCGGCGCGCUGUGCGGAAGCUAGAUAAAAAGUUCAAACAAGCCUGGAAAGCUAGUCAUUUACGAAGAUUUGGUAAGUUUUGCAAUUUUAUAAGUAUGAUGAACCUUACUGGGCGAUUUUAUCGCUUCCCUAAUCGUCACGGAUGAAAAUAUGACCAUGUUCAACUACUUUCGCAUUUCAGAAGUAUGGCAAUGUCGGAGGCUCAGAAGAUGCAGUUGCUUGCGUUCAUGGAACAAUACCCUGAGCUGUGUAAUAACCGUACGUUCCAGCAAGGGGAAACCAAGCAGGACCGAAAGAAAAAGUGGGACGAUAUCGCGUCGACCCUAAAUGCCCUAGGAGGCAUUGUGAAAAACGCUGGCGGGUGGCAGGUACUGUGGAGAAACUGGCGGUACCGUGUCCGCAGAAAUGUACGGGCGAGUAUCUGCAGCAUCACGGCGACUGGUGGUGGAGGUGGCAUGGAAUUACGCGAGGGGACAGAGCCUGGGGAGGAAGACGUGGCGCGCGUUGUGGACGUCGCGUCUUGUCUCCAUGGUCUGGACUCUCGCGUAAUGGCCUUGGUUGGCUGGGACACGGUGGUAGGGAUUGCUGGUGGCGCAAACCUUACCGAAGACGGCGAACUGCUACCACCAGUGUACUAUGUCACAUUACAUGUGCUCCAUGUCAAACCUAUCUGCGGUGAACUUUUAUAUUGCAUGAUUACUGAACAGAGAUAAAAUAAUUUCAUCAUGUACUUAAUAGCAUGCAAACUGUACGAUUUUGCAGGCCCCUCCCCAACCAGCAGAGGAGGCCACAAUCUCGCAUCAAGAGGGCCGUGUACCUGUGGUAUGCACACCAAUCAUAUAUUCCCAAUUCAAAGACCGCUUUUUUUUACCGCUUUUACAGGACACCGUUCCUGAAAGAAGCACGCCAGUGCCCAAUCUGGCUAGUCCCCAGCCAGCAACCUCCCGCCCCGGUGUCUCCAUCUCGGUCACCCCCACCAUGGAGGAUGCAAACCCGCCACAAGGUGCCACAGCUACUCAAAUUCGUGUGGAACGACCACGAGCGUGCCGCAGAAGGCGUAGGAGGGUUCCACCACCUGUUGCGAACCAAAUCAUUGAAGUGCAGGAGAGGUUGGUGACCCAAGUGGCGCAGCUGCGUGAGCUCCUCACACCACUGGUCGGGCCCCUGACAGAGCUCGUCACACAUAUACUAAACAGGGAACGACAAAGGGACACGUAAGCACGACUCCGAAACGGGGUCAGGAGCCAGGGCUCGAGGGGGUAUCCGUGGUCACCUGUGAAGAGAGCAGGAAGACGAAAUGUUAUCCGUUUCAUACUCAUCAUUUAACCAAGUUCCUUCUUUGUGAUUGUACUUGUCACUGCAUAAAUGUAAAAGUGGGACAAAAAAAUGUUUUGUAACAGUUAUUGCAACUAAUACAGUUGAACUAUUAAAAGCAUCACACUUGCCAAUCACAAAUCAUCACAAAUGCCAAAAAUAUUGUACAUUUUUGUCUAUCUUCUUCAAAAUGUUUCUCAGCCCUUUCACUGUUUGCAUCAACAGCAACAAUGUGAAUGAUGAUGGGAUGAGGUGUUUGCAUCACUUUCUAUGCUACUUACACAUAUAGGUAUCCCAGCUUUGCGUACUAUUCAUUUUUGUGUGACGACAUCCUUAACUCAUCCAACAGCCAUUCUCCUUCUGCGAAAAGGGCUGAAGCUCUCUGACGAAGCCUGCACAUGCUCCAGAUGGCAGCGUCGUGACAGCUUCCUGGGUACCGUGCAUUUAUGUGCAGUAUUCGACGGUUGGCGUCACACACCUGCCAAUAUGAAACUCUGUUCAUACCGUUACUUACUCUGGAGUUAUUGCAUAACCUUAGAAGUACAUAAUCUAAUUCAAUUCACUUCUGCCUACCCCUAGCACGUUCAAUGCAUGGUACCCCUUAUGGCUGUAAUAAUUGCCAUCGACAAAGCGUGGGUCCCUAGUACUUGGCGCAAUGAUUGCGAUGACUGUGCCAUCAACAGCACCUGCAAGAAACUUCCCAUUAAGAACAGAAAUACAACAUGGGUGCAUGCAUUUACGUCACAUACCAAGGCAACCGGGCAGGCAUUUUAUGUCGUAGAACCCACGCUUCACAGCAAGCUUCUCGUCUGGUGUUGUAGGAAAACGUAGGUAUCUUGGUGCCAGGUUCUUUAUGAUCGCCCAGCUUACAUCAUGAAUUGCUUCCGACACGGGUCGCUUUGUUGUGCUGAAGUAUUCUUCAUGCGCAAUGUUAUCGAGGAACGCACCCGUCGCAUAGAACCUCAGUGCCAUCAGUACUCUCUGUUCCACAGAGAGUGUAGUGGAGCGCCAUUGCUGCGCUGUAAGAGGAACAGUGUCUUGGCAUAAAGCAAUGACUAAUCUCGCUUUUAAGUCGCGCGACUAUCAAAGUUUGUGCGUAUGCCACAUUACACUCCUUAUUCCACUUGUGCUCAUGUAUCUCCUUCUCUGUUACAUUUAUAAUGCACAAAAUUUGUUUAGAAGGCGAUGACAACAACCUCGGUUCGAAUGAAAAAAAAAGGAGGUGAUACGUAAGUCGCUUCAAGUCCUCCGAAACGGCGCUGCACACCUCUCGUACUGCAUCUUUGGAGAGCCGAAAGUGUGCAACAAACUGAUCGUCUGAGAGGGCCGCCAGUGCGUCAACGUGAGGACGAAAUACGCGGAUGACUUCUUCUUCACAUAUGCCAACAUCAGCGAGGAAAGCGUAGAGCUCCGCCAUUUUUCUGGGUUGGCGACGCUCACUGGCGACGAACGACGCGAAGAUUUCCGUCGUCUGUCACCCUCACCCCGGUGACGGUUACCGAGGAGCGCAGUGACGGUGUGAAAGAGGCCAGCAACGCCGCUUUAACUGCACGUGACGACGAGGGUCACGUGGACGCUCCGUUGCUCUGGCAACGGCGAUGAGCUGUGAUCACCGGAGAAUGCCAACAACGCGCCCCUGGCUGCCAAGCGACGUUGUGAAUGGAAGUGACGGUAAGUUAUCCCCUUCCGCGACGUGCUCGAGCGCUAACAAACUAGAUAUUCAUCACGACCAAAUCUGUUGAUAAGUGACUGUGCAGAGAACUUGGCCUCUCUCCCUGCUUCUCCUGACCAUGGUGCUGAAGCAGCCAAGAAUGAGAGCUUCAUUCAUGGUAUGUUCAAUUUGUUGGGUAUCCGU